UACGUAGGGUGCAAGCGUUAAUCGGAAUUACUGGGCGUAAAGCGUGCGCAGGCGGUGAUGUAAGACAGGUGUGAAAUCCCCGGGCUUAACCUGGGAACUGCAUUUGUGACUGCAUCGCUGGAGUGCGGCAGAGGGGGAUGGAAUUCCGCGUGUAGCAGUGAAAUGCGUAGAUAUGCGGAGGAACACCGAUGGCGAAGGCAAUCCCCUGGACCUGUACUGACGCUCAUGCACGAAAGCGUGGGGAGCAAACGAG
rnacentral:rRNA from 1 species